GACGAACGCUGGCGGCGUGCCUAAUACACGCAAGUCGAGCGAAUGGAUGGGAGCUUGCUCCCUGAAGUUAGCGGCGGACGGGUGAGUAACACGUGGGCAACCUGCCUGUAAGACUGGGAUAACUUCGGGAAACCGGAGCUAAUACCGGAUACAUUCUUUCUUCGCCUGAAGAAAGAUGGAAAGAUGGUUUCGGCUAUCACUUACAGAUGGGCCCGCGGCGCAUUAGCUAGUUGGUGAGGUAACGGCUCACCAAGGCAACGAUGCGUAGCCGACCUGAGAGGGUGAUCGGCCACAAUGGGACUGAGACACGGCCCAGACUCCUACGGGAGGCAGCAGUAGGGAAUCUUCCGCAAUGGACGAAAGUCUGACGGAGCAACGCCGCGUGAGCGAAGAAGGCCUUCGGGUCGUAAAGCUCUGUUGUUAGGGAAGAACAAGUACCAGAGUAACUGCUGGUACCUUGACGGUACCUAACCAGAAAGCCACGGCUAACUACGUGCCAGCCGCCGCAGUAAGAC
rnacentral:rRNA from 1 species